rnacentral:rRNA from 1 species
CCUACGGGAGGCAGCAGUGGGGAAUAUUGCACAAUGGGGGAAACCCUGAUGCAGCGACGCCGCGUGAGUGAAGAAGUAUUUCGGUAUGUAAAGCUCUAUCAGCAGGGAAGAAAAUGACGGUACCUGAUUAAGAAGCCACGGCUAACUACGUGCCACCAGCCGCGGUAAUACGUAGGGGGCAAGCGUUAUCCGGAUUUACUGGGUGUAAAGGGAGCGUAGACGGCAGCACAAGUCAGGGGUGAAAUGCCGGGGCUUAACCACGGAAGUGCCUUGGAAACUGUGCAGCUAGAGUGCAGGAGAGGUAGGCGGAAUGCGUGGUGUAGCGGUGAAAUGCGUAGAUAUCAGGAAGAACACCGAUGGCGAAGGCAGCUUAC